AGAAGUUGCUUGAGCAAAGUCACAGAUGGUGGCUAUUACGUAGCAGAACUAGUCACAGACUAGCAUGUGGGAUGCAACCCUACACCUUUCUUACUCCCAGUUCUUUGCCCUUAAGUAAUGCUAUGACAUUUGGUAAGUUCCCAAGAAGGAUAAGUUGAGCUCGACAAUGUUUUGAGCUCGGGCGGCUGAGACAAUGAAGAUGUCACUGACGGAGAUGGUUUUGGAAAGGAAGUUGCGAGGCAGAUGGUGAACCACUCCUCCGGCUCUCCUUCCCAGUGCACAAAUCUGCAAUAAACCCUGCUCUCUUGGACUCAGUGAUUCCCUCGGCUGGGAUCUGCACAGGAACCCACGGGCCAGACAGCUUAAACGUUAAGCAGUUACACAGUCAUGAAGCCCUAUCAGCAACACUUUGAAGGAUGCAGUGUCAUCGCUCCCAGUUUACCAAUGAUGAACCAGUCUUAUGGGAAUUAUAUAACAUGCUCCAGGUCCCCAAGGUAAGUGAAGGAUCCAGAAGUUGAACUCAGGCCUGUCUGGUUCUAAACGCCACAUUCUGGAACUCUGGGAUAGUAGCUUGUCUCCAGGAUGGACCAUCAAGCCAUCCCCUCCCAGUACAUUCACGACAUUCCCCUUUCAAGAGAUGGGAUCUCCUCCCUUCCCUUUGAAUCUGGGCUGAUGCUAGUGGCUUACUUGACCAACAGAAUGUGACGGAAAUGGCAUUCUGUGUCUUCAGGGGCUAGGUCAUAGAAGCCCUGCAGAUUCCAUCUGAGCCCCUUGGAACACUAACUCUUGAAGUAAGAAGCCGACUGCCCUGCUGAAAAGAUGAUGGGUGAGGCCCUAAGGCUACAGGGAGAUGAGGAGGUGAGCCAGCCAGGUCUCACCUUCCAGCCUUUCCCCUCAAAACACCAGGCAUGUGAAUGAAGCAUCUCGGACCAUCCAGCCCAGCCAUCAGCUGAAUAUCGCCACGUGAGCCCAGUAAAUGCCACAUGAAAUGGAAGAACCACCUGCCCAAGCCCUGCCUGAGUCCUGGACCCACAACGUUAUGAGAUAGAACAAAGUCGUUGGUGUUUUAAGUCAUUAAAUUUGAGUAGUUUGUUAUAAUGCAACAGGUAACCAGAACAAGGGGUCUUGUUGUUAUAGGAUCCAAAGUCUGAUGUCCACUGGAAUGAUGACCUCAUUGCCAUGAAGCUCUUCGGAGCAAAAUAAGCAAAAAAAAAAAAAACCAAAGAGUGAUCAUUCAAUGGCAACGAAGUCCCUGAAAGGCCAAAGAGGAGGAGACCCAGGCAAAGCAGUGUGGCUGUGGUAUGGCAGCACCAUGGCUCCGGAGAACUACCCUGGUUCCCUCUCUCAGAGUCUCUGUCAGAGUUGGCCCCAUGCUGAGUCAUCUCCCAACCCCCCCAAAGAUCCACAGCUAAUAUUGAGGAGACCUUUUGUCACCCUUAGUUACCUGCACAGCCCACAGAAGCAAACUCAGGACCAUUUGGGCAGAGAAUUCCUGUGCCAGGAACUUGUAAUGUGUUUUGUGGUGGGAGGGGCCUUGAGAUGGGCGUGACUCCCUGGCCCCUCAACUCCUCAGCACGCGGGAAGGGCCAGCACAGGGACCCCGGAGGUCUGUGUUUUACGGUGGUGUCACUUUCACUGCAUCCUGAAUCUUGUGCUAAAUCUCUCAUUUUGCUUAUCGUUUCAAAAAAAUUUGAUGCUUCAUGGGUAACAAAGUUCAGAAUUGAACUUUUUGCUUUUGACUGC
rnacentral:lncRNA from 1 species